UAGGUUCAUCUCCUCGCCCAUUACUCCCUCUGCAUCUGAGUAAAUAAUUUGAUGAUCAUAAACUUGCUGUAAUCAUCUGUCUUAAAUAAUUUGAAUAAUUGCAUGCAGUACAAUCUUGGAGUAAUACUGAAAUUUAACAUUGAAACUGAACAAUGAUAUUGAACACUGAAAGAUGAACACUGAGUAGAACAUGUAUUGUCAAUACAAGUUUGGACUUGUAUUGUCAAUACAAAAAAUGAACAUGUACUGUUAAUUUAGCACAGGUUUGGACUUAGUUUCAUCAGUACUGCAAAUUAGUAGGAGUGAAUUAACGGGCAGAAAUAAUUGCUACUCUCAUUUCAGGUAAAAUUGAGUAGGAAUAAGACUAUGAAUAUCAGGAGCAUGAAUAUCAGGAAGGGUAGUGGUAAAACAUAAAGCAUGGCCUCCGAAAAUUUUACCCCAGCCUUACUUUGAACUCACUAUCAUUUCUGUACUUCAUUAUUCCCAUAAGAGGGUCUCUUUCACCUGUAACUCGACAUGAUCAAGUAAAGUGUGCACAUGUCUAUUUUUAUUUGAAUCUUCAGAAUGUCCAAACUUUUAAACACUAUGGUAUGACUGAACAAUCUAAACUGUUUGACAUUGUUUGAUGUAAAUAAAAUACUCCGGUCAUUCUUAGUAUGCAAUCUGCAGUAGUGCUUCGAAAAAACACUAGGGGAAAUGACUUGAAUGGAGAAAUGUUGAGAGACCAACCUGCUACCUGAAAAGUGCAGCAUGCCCACAUGAGAGUCACUAAUACUCUCACACAUCUUUUUUCAAUAGCCCUUCUUUAAAACAAUCUGGUGGGAAAAAACGUUCAAGGUCACAAGUCACAAUCUGGUGGAGUAUGACUCAACAUACUCUAUAAUUUACUGAAUGAAUGGAGGUAAAAGUAUGGAGUAUUUACUGAAUGAAUAAUCAAGUAAACAAUGCAUGGAGGUAAAAGGAUAAAAGAAGCUAAAUUCACGGGGAAGAAUAGAGCAAAAUAAUUUAGACAGAAUAAAUUCUGAAAGAACCUCUGCCAUCUGUUGAUAUGUUGAUUUACUUUAAAUAAAAAUCAUAGACUGAAAAUGUUGUCAUCUGGAUUACACAUGUUCUUUUUCUCAUUAAAGGGUCAUGAGACAGCUAUUGAAAACAGACUGGAGUAAAUUGUUUUUCUAAGAACACAAACACAACAAAAACAGGUUCAUGACUGGAGUAGUACUGUAAUAAGACCCGACAAAACAUCUUUUGGAGAACAUGGAUCUACUGAAAAUGUUGUACUGCUCCAAUUGAUCAUUUUCAUUUCCAAAAUGUACUGGUGUGCAUCUUGAAAGUUCAACCUCUUACCUUGAAAGUUCUUUUCAGUUGCCUGGAGAACAUGGAUCUCCCAGACCUCAAGUACACCCCACCUGCAGAAGAUGAAGAUGAAAUGGACGAAGAUGUAAGAGAUGAAAUGGACGAAGAUGUAGGAGAUGAAAUGGACGAAGAUGAAAUGGACGAAGAUGUAGGAGAUGCAAUUGUUCAACAUGCAGGUAAAUGAAUCAAAUGAUCAUGAGUAGAGAGUAAAUGACUCAAAUGACUUGUGUAAAUGCAUUGUUGUACUCCAUUUGAUCAUAUAUUUUCUUUGUGCAGGUGUUGAGCAAGCAAUUCAGAAAAGGGAUAUCCUAGAUGACAAGCAAAGAUAUGUUGCUUAUGUUGCAAUGCAUACAUUGUGCAUGAGUAGAGGGGGAAAGUUUAAGAGAGAUGACAAGAAAAAUAUUGCUGAUUUCUUUGGAGUGGGUGUUUGGAAUAUACAAAGAAUUUGGAAGAAAGCGAUGGAGCAAAUUGCUGAAGGUCUGGAUGUAGAUGUUUCAAGUCAGGGGAAAGAAAAUUGUGGAAGAAAGCCGAAAGACAUCAAUCUAGAGCAAAUCCCUACCAUCCCACUAAACAGGAGGUCUACUAUCAGGUCAUUUGCCUGGCAACUCGGGUGCAGCCCUACGACACUCCACCGGAAGUUCAUGCUGAAGUUGAUAAAGAGGCGUACAAACUGUUUGAAGCCAGCUCUGAAUGAAAAGAACAAGAAGGAUAGAGUGAAAUUUUGCUUGUAAAUGCUCGAUGAGACAACAACACAAACUGAAAGGCCAAAAUUCAAGACCAUGCACAACAUUAUUCAUAUUGAUGAGAAAUGAUUCUAUAUGACCAAGAAAAAAAGGAACUAUUAUCUGCUGUAUGGGGAGGAAGAGCCUACGAGAACUCUGCAAAACGGCAGUUAUAUUGGAAAGGUUAUGUUCUUGACAGCUGUUGCUAGGCCGAGGUGGGAUAAUGAAGGAAAUGUGACCUUCUCUGGAAAAAUUGGAAUUUGGCCGUUUGUGAAAGAAGUUCCGGCUCAGAGGAGAAGCGACAACAGGCCCAGAGGAACAUUGGAGACAAAGUCCAUAAAAGUCAACAGGCAAGUAAUGAGAGAGUUCAUGAUAGAGAACCUACUUCCAGCAAUACAAGCAUCUUGGCCUGAGAAUGAUGUUGGGCAAACCAUCUAUAUACAGCAAGACAACGCUAAGCCUCAUAUCUUGCCUAACGACCUAGAAUUUGUAGCAGCUGUGGAAAGAACUGGAGUCGAUAUCAGACUAAUUCAACAACCUGCCAAUAGCCCAGAUCUGAAUGGCCUUGACCUUGG
rnacentral:lncRNA from 1 species